UGUUGGUGAGGUAGUGGCUCACCAAGGCGACGACGGGUAGCCGGCCUGAGAGGGCGACCGGCCACACUGGGACUGAGACACGGCCCAGACUCCUACGGGAGGCAGCAGUGGGGAAUAUUGCACAAUGGGCGAAAGCCUGAUGCAGCGACGCCGCGUGAGGGAUGACGGCCUUCGGGUUGUAAACCUCUUUCAGCAGGGAAGAAGCGAAAGGGACGGUACCUGCAGAAGAAGCGCCGGCUAACUACGUGCCAGCAGCCGCGGUAAUACGUAGGGCGCAAGCGUUGUCCGGAAUUAUUGGGCGUAAAGAGCUCGUAGGCGGCUUGUCACGUCGGUUGUGAAAGCCCGGGGCUUAACCCCGGGUCUGCAGUCGAUACGGGCAGGCUAGAGUUCGGUAGGGGAGAUCGGAAUUCCUGGU
rnacentral:rRNA from 1 species